rnacentral:rRNA from 1 species
CCUACGGGAGGCAGCAGUCGAGAAUCUUCGGCAAUGGGCGCAAGCCUGACCGAGCGACGCCGCGUGUGGGAUGAAGGCCUUCGGGUUGUAAACCACUGUCAGAGGGGAUGAAAUGCAGGUGGGUUCUCCCAUCUGUUUGACAUAGCCUCAGAGGAAGGACGGGCUAAGUUCGUGCCAGCAGCCGCGGUAAGACGGACCGUCCGAACGUUAUUCGGAAUCACUGGGCUUAAAGGGUGCGUAGGCGGCGCGGAAAGUUGGGUGUGAAAUCCCUCGGCUUAACCGAGGAACUGCGCCCAAAACUACCGUGCUCGAGGGAGAUAGAGGUGAGCGGAACUUAGGGUGGAGCGGUGAAAUGCGUUGAUAUCCUAAGGAACACCGGUGGCGAAAGCGGCUCACUGGAUCUCUUCUGACGCUGAGGCACGAAAGCUAGGGUAGCGAACGGGAUUAGAUACCCCGGUAGUCCUAGCCGUAAACGAUGAGCACUGGAUUGGAGGGUCCUCCAUAGCCUUCCACGUCGCAACGAACGACGUAGUAGUCGCCGCCGUGGGAGGUAGUGGUCGCGAGGUAACGUAGAACGUUACGAAAGGUAAAGUUAGUUACGGCGUUGAGACGNGCCGACGGACGACGACGAGGGAGGAGG